AUUGAACGCUGGCGGCAGGCUUAACACAUGCACGUCGAGCGAGCGGCGGACGGGUGAGUAAUCGCUGGGAACCUGUCUGAUGGCGGGGGAACACUACUGGAAAAGGUAUCUAAUACCGUAUAACCUCAGCUGUACCCAGAUGGGAUGAGCUAGUAGGUGGGGUAAUGGCGACACUAGGCGACGGUCCCUAGCGGGUCUGAGAGGAUGACCAGCCACACUGGAACUGAGACACGGUCCAGACUCCUACGGGAGGCAGCAUUGGGGAAUAUGGCACAAUGGGCGCAAGCCUGAUGCAGCAAUGCCGCGUGUGUGAAGAAGGCCUUCGGGUUGUAAAGCACUUUCAGCGAGGAGGCGUUACUCGCAGAAGAAGCACCGGCUAACUCCGUGCCAGCAGCCGCGGUAAUUC
rnacentral:rRNA from 1 species